UCCCUUGUGGCUCAGCUGGUAAAGAAUCCACCUGCAAUGCAGGAGACCUGGGUUCGAACCCUAGCUUGGGAA
rnacentral:tRNA from 1 species